rnacentral:rRNA from 1 species
UCAUGGCUCAGGAUGAACGCUGGCGGCGUGCUUAACACAUGCAAGUCGAACGAUUAAAGCCCCUUCGGGGGUGUAUAGAGUGGCGAACGGGUGAGUAACACGUGGGCAACCUACCCCUCACACUGGGAUAACUCUGGGAAACUUGAGCUAAUACCGGAUACUCCGGACUGAUCGCAUGGUCGGUUCGGGAAAGCUCCGGCGGUGAGGGAUGGGCCCGCGGUCCAUUAGCUUGUUGGUGGGGUAACGGCUCACCAAGGCUGCGAUGGAUAGCCGAGCUGAGAGGCUGAUCGGCCACACUGGGACUGAGACACGGCCCAGACUCCUACGGGAGGCAGCAGUGGGGAAUUUUGCGCAAUGGGCGAAAGCCUGACGCAGCAACGCCGCGUGCGGGAUGAAGGCCUUCGGGUUGUAAACCGCUUUCAGCAGGGACGAAAAUGACGGUACCUGCAGAAGAAGCCCCGGCUAAAUACGUGCCAGCAGCCGCGGUAAUACGUAUGGGGCAAGCGUUAUCCGGAUUCAUUGGGCGUAAAGAGCGCGUAGGUGGCUUGUUAAGCGAGAUGUGAAAACCGGGGGCUCAACCCGCGGCCUGCAUCUCGAACUGGCAGGCUUGAGUCUGGUAGAGGAGUGUGGAAUUCCUAGUGUAGCGGUGAAAUGCGCAGAUAUUAGGAGGAACACCAGUGGCGAAGGCGGCACUCUGGGCCAGCACUGACACUGAGGCGCGAAAGCUAGGGGAGCAAACAGGAUUAGAUACCCUGGUAGUCCUAGCCGUAAACGAUGGGCACUAGGUGUGGGGGGUCAUCAACUCCCUCCGUGCCGCAGCUAACGCACUAAGUGCCCCGCCUGGGGAGUACGACCGCAAGGUUAAAACUCAAAG